CUUCAGCGAGCCGAGCAGCAGGGGCGUCGCCCGGUCCUGCCCGUACGUCGCGAGCAGCGCCUGCGCCUC
rnacentral:antisense_RNA from 1 species